rnacentral:lncRNA from 1 species
GGAGAAGCAUAUUUUGUCAACCCAAAAUUCAUCCUUCAAAACAACAUUGUAGAUUCCGUUCCUUCUGCAAUCACUUUCCGGUUUAAAAAGUAUCCUUCAAGUAUUGGUUACUUGUACUUCGUUGAUUAUUUUAGUUACAAUAAUAUAAAUGUUUUGUAUGUUGAUAUUGUUGGUGUAUCAAUAACAACAAUAUGUUUAACAAAUUGAUUAAGAAUUGCACAUGGAAACAUAAAUUAGACCCGAAAUGUGAAAAUGACAAAUUGACUGAGACUUGCAUAAAGAAUCUCCUUAAGACAAUAUUUUUGCGUUGUCUACGAUGGAACAAGCUCUUCCUAGUAGUCUCGUAGGAUACGACAGUCGGGUACUUCAAUAUUUGCACAAUUAGAAGCCCGCAACAAACUUGAAAAGUAUGGACGAAAUUGUGACAAAAAGUUAGGCGAAGUAGUGUGUCUGAAAUACCUUAAAAUCGUAUGCUGAAUUGACCAGAUUCAGUCUUUAUUUAUAAUUUCAGAAGUCUCUUCCUAGCAAGACACAUUGAUGGGAGAAGUGUCUGUUCAUUGUUCAUUCAUAAGAUUAGUCUCUUCAGUUUAAGAGACACGUCUCCUCGAAUUUGAACAAAUGCAUUGGUUUAAAAAGAGUUCCUACAAUUUUCAUUCGCUUAAUUAAAAUUCCAACAAAUAUGAUAUCAUAGAUCAUUUUGCCAUCAAUAUGUCGCAGAGCUUCGGUGGAUAAAAAUAGAGAGGAAAUUAAAGGAGGAGAAAAAUGAAGCGCAAUAAUG